GAUGAACGCUCGCGAUAGGCUUAACACAUGCAAGUCGAGGGGCAGCGAGGGUAGCAAUACCUGUCGGCGACCGGCGCACGGGUGAGUAACGCGUAUGUAACCUGCCCGCAACAGGGGGAUAACCCGGCGAAAGUCGGACUAAUACCGCAUAAAACAGGGGUCCCGCAUGGGAAUAUUUGUUAAAGAUUUAUCGGUUGCGGAUGGGCAUGCGUACCAUUAGGUAGUUGGUGAGGUAACGGCUCACCAAGCCUUCGAUGGUUAGGGGUUCUGAGAGGAAGGUCCCACACACUGGUACUGAGACACGGACCAGACUCCUACGGGAGGCAGCAGUGAGGAAUAUUGGUCAAUGGGCGAGAGCCUGAACCAGCCAAGUCGCGUGAAGGAUGACUGCCCUAUGGGUUGUAAACUUCUUUUACAAGGGAAUAAAAUGAGAUACGUGUAUUUUAUUGCAUGUACCUUGGGAAUAAGCAUCGGCUAACUCCGUG
rnacentral:rRNA from 1 species